rnacentral:lncRNA from 1 species
GGAUCUGUACUCCCAGCUAUCGGAUACGAAUCAUCACAUGAUGAUGAUGAUGCAUGUGGAUCACCACCAGAUACAACAUCAUAUGGUCUAUGUGUAUUAGAAAGAUGUGGUGGACUAGGAGUAGAGUGGGGAGAUUGGAUAUUUGUAGGUAUUUGAGAGGUGGGAGCAUGAAUUGUAGACAUUUGUGGACUUGGAGUAGAGAGGAAAGGUGGGAAAUUUGUAAAUGUUUGAGAUAUGGGAUGAUGUUUCGGUUGCCUUGUAGGUUGUGGAAGUUGGAUAUUUGAAGGUGUGUUAGAUGUAAGAUGAUGUGUAGGUUUCCUUGUAGAGUGGGGUUGUUGGGUAUUUGUAGGUAUUUGAGAAGUGGGAGCAUGGACAGUAGACAUUUGUGGACUUGAAGUAGAGAGGAAAGGUGGGAAGUUUGUAUGUGUUUGAGAUAUGGGAUGAUGUGUAGGUUGCUUUGUAAAUAGGGAUUGUUGGAUAUUUGAAGGUGUUUUAGAUGUAAGAUGAUGUGUAGGUUUCCUUGUAGAGUGGGGUUGUUGGGUAUUUGUAGGUAUUUGAGAAGUGGGAGCAUGGACAGUAGACAUUUGUGGACUUGAAGUAGAGAGGAAAGGUGGGAAGUUUGUAUGUGUUUGAGAUAUGGGAUGAUGUGUAGGCUGCUUUGUAGAUAGGGAUUGUUGGAUAUUUGAAGGUGUUUUAGAUGUAAGAUGAUGUGUAGGUUUCAUUGUAGAGUGGGGUUGUUGGGUAUUUGUAGGUAUUUGAGAAGUGGGAGCAUGGACAGUAGACAUUUGUGGACUUGAAGUAGAGAGGAAAGGUGGGAAGUUAGUAUGUGUUUGAGAUAUGGGAUGAUGUGUAGGUUGCUUUGUAGAUAGGGAUUGUUGGGUGUCUGCAGGCCUAGGUGCUUGUAAUCUAGAAGAAUGCGACAAAGUAGUUUUAUGCUUACCUCCCUUAUUUCCCUUAACUUUGUUGAUGCUUAUACCAGCACCUCUUCCAC